GGGUGCGAUCAACCGGCAAUAAUGCACCGGAUCCCAUCAGAACUCCGAAGUUAAGCUUGCUUGGGCGAGAGCAGUACUAGGAUGGGUGACCUCCUGGGAAGUCCUCGUGUUGCACCCUC
rnacentral:rRNA from 1 species